rnacentral:rRNA from 1 species
UACGUAGGGGGCACGCGUUGUCCGGAGUUACUGGGCGUAAAGCGCACGCAGGCGGUCUCUUAAGUUUGGAGUGACAGUUGGUGGCUUAACUGCCAAAGUGCUUCGAAAACUGAGAGACUUGAGGGCUUCAGAGGGACACGGAAUUCCGGGUGGAGUGGUGAAAUGCGUAGAGAUCCGGAGGAACACCAAAGGCGAAGGCAGUGUCCUGGGGAGUACCUGACGCUGAGGCGCGAGAGCGUGGGGAGCAAACCGG